ACGCUGGCGGCGUAGCCUAACACAUGCAAGGUCGAACGGGGUGAUUUCCUUCGGGAGAUCACGUUAGUGGCGAACGGGUGAGUAACGCGUGAGGAACCUGUCUUUCAGUGGGGGACAACAGUUGGAAACGACUGCUAAUACCGCAUAACAUACACGGACCGCAUGAUCUGUGUAUCAAAGCUUUAUGUGCUGAAAGAUGGCCUCGCGUCUGAUUAGCUAGUUGCGGGGUAACGGCCCACCAAGGCGACGAUCAGUAGCCGGUCUGAGAGGAUGAACGGCCACAUUGGGACUGAGAUACGGCCCAGACUCCUACGGGAGGCAGCAGUGGGGAAUAUUGGGCAAUGGGGGAAACCCUGACCCAGCAACGCCGCGUGAAGGAAGAAGGCCUUCGGGUUGUAAACUUCUUUUUAGCAGGGACGAAUACGUGACGGUACCUGCAGAAAAAGCAACGGCUAACUACGUG
rnacentral:rRNA from 1 species